rnacentral:rRNA from 1 species
UACGUAGGGUGCAAGAGUUAAUCGGAAUUACUGGGCGUAAAGCGUGCGCAGGCGGUUCGCUAAGACAGAUGUGAAAUCCCCGGGCUUAACCUGGGAACUGCAUUGGUGACUGGCGGGCUAGAGUAUGGCAGAGGGGGGUAGAAUUCCACGUGUAGCAGUGAAAUGCGUAGAGAUGUGGAGGAAUACCGAUGGCGAAGGCAGCCCCCUGGGCCAAUACUGACGCUCAUGCACGAAAGCGUGGGGAGCAAACAGG